AUGGCUUCAAGCCACACAUAUUUUAUUGUCUCACAGCUCUGGAUUUCAGAGUGUAAAAUGCUUCUCCCUGGGCUAAUGCCAAGGCGUUGGUUGACAGGACUGUCCCUUCUGCAGACUAGGGGAGAACCCGUGUUCUCGGUUUUUGUAGAACAUCAUAGUCCUUGGCUCGCACCCUCUUCUGUCUACAAAGCCAGCAAUAGUAGAUGCCGAGUUCUUUCAUGCCCUGUUUCCCUAAUAUUGACUCUUUUUCUUUUCACAUCUGUCUUUUUUUGGGGUGUGUGUACAUGUUCAUGUGUGUGUGCAUGUUCAUGUGUGUGCAUGGUUCGUGUGUGUGCAUGUUUGCGUGUGUGCAUGUUUGUGUGUGUGUGCAUGUUUGUGUGUGUAUGUUCAUGUGUGUGUACAUGUUCAUGUGUGUGUACAUGUUCAUGUGUGCACAUGUUCAUGUGUGCACAUGUUCAUGUGUGUGCAUGUUCAUGUGUGUGUAUGUUCGUGUGUGUGCAUGUUUGUUUGUUUGUGUGUGCAUGUUUGUGUGUGCAUGUUCAUGUGUGUACGUGUUCAUGUGUGUGUACAUGUUCUUGUGUGUACAUGUUCACAUGCAUGUACAUGUUCAUGUGUGUGCAUGUGUGUACAUGUUCAUGUGUGUGCACAUUCAUGUGUGUGCAUGUUCAUCUGUGUGCACAUUCAUGUGUGUGCAAGUUUGUGUGUGCAUGUUCAUGUGUGUACGUGUUCAUGUGUGUACGUGUUCAUCUGUGUGUACAUGUUCAUAUGUGUACAUGUUCAUAUGUGUGUGUACAUGUUCAUGUGUGUGUACAAGUUCAUGUGUGUGUACAUGUUCAUAUGUGUACAUGUUCAUAUGUGUGUGUACGUGUUCAUGUGUGUGUGCAUGUUCAUGUGUGUGCAUGUUCGUGUGUGUGUGUGUGUGUGUGUGUGUGUGUGUGUGUGUGUGUGUACAUGUGUGUGUGUGUGUGUACAUGUGUGUGUGUGUGUGUACAUAAGGAGGUCAGAGGUCUACAUUGGAUGCCUCCCCAGUCACUCUCCAUCUUACUCUUUGGGACUGGAUCUUUCACUGAACCUGAGUCUCACCUGUUGUGCUAG
rnacentral:lncRNA from 1 species